UGGGGAAUUUUGCACAAUGGGGGAAACCCUGAUGCAGCGACGCCGCGUGAUUUAGAAGGCCUUCGGGUUGUAAAAAUCUUUUGUAUAGGAAGAAAAUGACAGUACUAUACGAAUAAGGACCGGCUAAUUACGUGCCAGCAGCCGCGGUAAUACGUAAGGUCCGAGCGUUGUCCGGAAUCAUUGGGCGUAAAGGGUACGUAGGCGGGUAAGCAAGUUAGAAGUGAAAUCCUAUAGCUCAACUAUAGUAAGCUUUUAAAACUGCUCAUCUUGAGGUAUGGAAGGGAAAGUGGAAUUCCUAGUGUAGCGGUGAAAUGCGCAGAUAUUAGGAGGAAUACCGGUGGCGAAGGCGACUUUCUGGUCUGUAACUGACGCUGAGGCUCGAAAGCGUGGGGAGCGAACAGG
rnacentral:rRNA from 1 species